rnacentral:misc_RNA from 1 species
UCAAACUUGGUCAUUUAGAGGAAGUAAAAGUCGUAACAAGGUUUCCGUAGGUGAACCUGCGGAAGGAUCACUAAUUAAAUAUCACGGAUGUAACAAACUUGUGGCGUUUUUAACAAAACAAGUUUAAUGUCCUACUACCUAUUGAUUCUGUGAACUAACGUUUUGCCUUGGCAAGGUAGUAAAAUAUCUUGUCAAUGGACCUUUUCUAAAUUCAUUAUAACAUUGUCUAAACUAUAUAUUAAAAUAAAACUUUCAACAACGGAUCUCUUGGUUCUCGCAUCGAUGAAGAACGCAGC